rnacentral:miRNA from 1 species
UCACCUGGGGAUCUUGUUAACAUGCAAAUUUUGACUCAACAGGACUGGAAUGGGCCUGAGAUUCUGCAUUUCUAACAAGUGCCCAGGUGACGCUGCU